UCGAGCGGUAAGGCCUUUCGGGGUACACGAGCGGCGAACGGGUGAGUAACACGUGGGUGAUCUGCCCUGCACUCUGGGAUAAGCUUGGGAAACUGGGUCUAAUACCGGAUAUGACCACAGCAUGCAUGUGUUGUGGUGGAAAGAUUUAUCGGUGCAGGAUGGGCCCGCGGCCUAUCAGCUUGUUGGUGGGGUAAUGGCCUACCAAGGCGACGACGGGUAGCCGACCUGAGAGGGUGACCGGCCACACUGGGACUGAGACACGGCCCAGACUCCUACGGGAGGCAGCAGUGGGGAAUAUUGCACAAUGGGCGGAAGCCUGAUGCAGCGACGCCGCGUGAGGGAUGAAGGCCUUCGGGUUGUAAACCUCUUUCAGCAGGGACGAAGCGUGAGUGACGGUACCUGCAGAAGAAGCACCGGCUAACUACGUGCCAGCAGCCGCGGUAAUACGUAGGGUGCGAGCGUUGUCCGGAAUUACUGGGCGUAAAGAGUUCGUAGGCGGUUUGUCGCGUCGUUUGUGAAAACCCGGGGCUCAACUUCGGGCUUGCAGGCGAUACGGGCAGACUUGAGUGUUUCAGGGGAGACUGGAAUUCCUGGUGUAGCGGUGAAAUGCGCAGAUAUCAGGAGGAACACCGGUGGCGAAGGCGGGUCUCUGGGAAACAACUGACGCUGAGGAACGAAAGCGUGGGUAGCAAACAGGAUUAGAUACCCUGGUAGUCCACGCCGUAAACGGUGGGCGCUAGGUGUGGGUUCCUUCCACGGGAUCUGUGCCGUAGCUAACGCAUUAAGCGCCCCGCCUGGGGAGUACGGCCGCAAGGCUAAAACUCAAAGGAAUUGACGGGGGC
rnacentral:rRNA from 1 species